CCUUCCCAAAUUAGCUCUUUCAACAUUUUCAAAUUUCGAAUUCUUUUCACUUCUGUUCUCCUUUGGUUAUUAGUAGAUGGGACACAUCUCCAGUUUAUGCGUGAAUCAGACGCCUUCGGAGCCGCCUAGUUUUUAAUCAGGUCAUCCAAUGGUGUUAGAUUCACGCACAAACUCGUGAUUUGUCUCCUCUUGAAAACACCCGAUCAUUUUUUUUUUUUGCUUUAGCCGCCAAUUCGAUUUUUCAUUUUUUUGCCAAAAUUUCCCUGUUUUAAGUAGUCAUUUGUAAAUUGAUUCAGAAACGUAGAGAGAGAAACAGAAAGAGAGAUCGGAUGGCGUCGGGUGCGGGAGACGAGGAGAGUGGUGAACGGAGCAGAUCGAUGAUUACGAGACGUUGAUUUUAUUGACCGAUGUGGAUCUCUCAAAAAGAGCGUGUCUUAACAAGAAAGCGGCUCUUCAGAUCUUUCUUUUCGAGGAGGCUUUAGUUAGGAUUCCAGAGCCACAAUUAGAUACAUUUGUUGUUGCCCUGAUGUUAGCAGGCAAUCUGCAGGCUUUGACGGCAGGCAAUUUGCUAUUCUCACUUGUUUGUAGCAUCUAUUCUUAGAAUUAGUAAAACCACACCUGGUGAUCACUUGCAAAUGGAGCCUGGUGAUCUAUGCAUUUUGCGUUACAAAUCCUUUCAAGAGGAACUGAUGAGUGGAAAUAUCAGUUCAGUUUGAGAGUCCAUGUGUAGCAAUCGGAAGAUGGUAUGAAAAUCAAGCUGCUCUUCUCAUCAGCUGAGGACUUUGCCUCCCUGUCAACAAUGCACUUAGAUUUUGUGUAUCUCGUAUGGUAGAAUGUUUUUGUACCAUGCAUCGUGCUUAUGGAGAUUGGGGGCUCCUAGGCCCAUGUCCUUUGUGGACCUUAAGUCCAGGUUGUAAUGUUUGUGGGAAAGUUCAAGCCUCAAGAAUUCUUGUGGUCGGAAGCCAAGCCUCAAGGCUAUCGAACAAGUUCUUUGCUUAGGUGAAUGGAAAGAGUUGGGCAAAGAUGGUGAUUUAUAUA